rnacentral:rRNA from 1 species
GCAGUCGACGGUAGCACAGAGAGCUUGCUCUCGGGUGACGAGUGGCGGACGGGUGAGUAAUGCCUGGGAAACUGCCUGAUGGAGGGGGAUAACUACUGGAAACGGUAGCUAAUACCGCAUAACGUCGCAAGACCAAAGAGGGGGACCUUCGGGCCUCUUGCCAUCGGAUGUGCCCAGAUGGGAUUAGCUUGUUGGUGGGGUAACGGCUCACCAAGGCGACGAUCCCUAGCUGGUCUGAGAGGAUGACCAGCCACACUGGAACUGAGACACGGUCCAGACUCCUACGGGAGGCAGCAGUGGGGAAUAUUGCACAAUGGGCGCAAGCCUGAUGCAGCCAUGCCGCGUGUAUGAAGAAGGCCUUCGGGUUGUAAAGUACUUUCAGCGGGGAGGAAGGGAGUAAAGUUAAUACCUUUGCUCAUUGACGUUACCCGCAGAAGAAGCACCGGCUAACUCCGUGCCAGCAGCCGCGGUAAUACGGAGGGUGCAAGCGUUAAUCGGAAUUACUGGGCGUAAAGCGCACGCAGGCGGUUUGUUAAGUCAGAUGUGAAAUCCCCGGGCUCAACCUGGGAACUGCAUCUGAUACUGGCAAGCUUGAGUCUCGUAGAGGGGGGUAGAAUUCCAGGUGUAGCGGUGAAAUGCGUAGAGAUCUGGAGGAAUACCGGUGGCGAAGGCGGCCCCCUGGACGAAGACUGACGCUC